rnacentral:rRNA from 1 species
CACGUAGGGCGCAAGCGUUGUCCGGAAUUAUUGGGCGUAAAGAGCUCGUGAGCGGUCUGUUACGUCUGCUGUGAAAACCCGGGGCUUAACCCUGGGCUUGCAGUGGAUACGGGCAGACUAGAGGCAGGUAGGGGAGAAUGGAAUUCCCGGUGUAGCGGUGAAAUGCGCAGAUAUCGGGAGGAACACCGGUGGCGAAGGCGGUUCUCUGGGCCUGACCUGACGCUGAGGAGCGAAAGCGUGGGGAGCGAACAGG